rnacentral:rRNA from 1 species
ACUAGAUCUAGCCCACACUCCCCCCCCCCCCCCCCCCCCCNAUCACAGACAAAUCAAAUAAAGCAUUCACCACCCAUUCAAAGUAUAGGAGAUAGAAAUCCAAAUCACUAGUGGCGCUAUAGAGAAAGUACCGUAAGGGAAAGAUGAAAGAUAUCCUAAAAGUAAAAAAAAGCAAAGCUUACCCCUUGUACCUUUUGCAUAAUGAAUUAACUAGUAGUAACUUAGCAAAGAGACCUUUAGUUAAACUACCCGAAACCAGACGAGCUACUUACGAACAGUACCUAGAACGAACUCAUCUAUGUGGCAAAAUAGUGAGAAGAUUUGUAAGUAGAGGUGAAAAGCCUAACGAGCCUGGUGAUAGCUGGUUGUCCAAGAAAAGAAUCUCAGUUCAACAUUAAACAGUACCAAGAACCCCCUGAAGUUCCAAUGUAUGUUUAACUGUUAGUCUAAAAAGGUACAGCUUUUUAGAAAUGGGUACAACCUUAACUAGAGAGUAAAACAGACACACACAUGCCAUAGUUGGCUUAAAAGCAGCCAUCAAUUAAGAAAGCGUUCAAGCUCAACAAUAAAACUGUGUUAUAAUCCCAACAAUAACAAAUCAACUCCUAGUAUAAUUAUUGGACUAAUCUAUAUAAUUAUAGAAGCAAUACUGUUAACAUGAGUAACAAGAAAACUUUUUCUCCUCGCACAAGCUUACAUCAGUAACUGAUACUACACUGAUAGUUAACAGCCAAUAAAUAAAACCCAACGCCAAGCCAUUUAUUAAGCCCACUGUUAACCCAACACAGGCGUGCACCAAGGAAAGAUUAAAAAAAGUAAAAGGAACUCGGCAAACACAAACCUCGCCUGUUUACCAAAAACAUCACCUCUAGCAUAACCAGUAUUAGAGGCACUGCCUGCCCAGUGACUGAUAGUUAAACGGCCGCGGUAUCCUGACCGUGCAAAGGUAGCAUAAUCACUUGUUCUCUAAAUAAGGACUUGUAUGAACGGCCACACGAAGGUUUUACUGUCUCUUACUUUUAAUCAGUGAAAUUGACCUUCCCGUGAAGAGGCGGGAAUAACAAAACAAGACGAGAAGACCCUAUGGAGCUUCAAUUAAUCAACCCAAUAACCCACAACCUCAAACCACCAAGGGAUAAAAAAAACUUAUAUGGGUUGACAAUUUCGGUUGGGGUGACCUCGGAGCACAAAAACCCCUCCGAGUGAUUAAAGCCUAGGCCUACCAGCCAAAGCAUAACAUCACUUAUUGAUCCAAAGCUUUGAUCAACGGAACAAGUUACCCUAGGGAUAACAGCGCAAUCCUAUUCUAGAGUCCAUAUCGACAAUAGGGUUUACGACCUCGAUGUUGGAUCAGGACAUCCUAAUGGUGCAGCCGCUAUUAAGGGUUCGUUUGUUCAACGAUUAAAGUCCUACGUGAUCUGAGUUCAGACCGGAGCAAUCCAGGUCGGUUUCUAUCUGUUGCGCAUUUCUCCCAGUACGAAAGGACAAGAGAAAUAAGGCCAACUUUACACACGCGCCUUCAAAUAACUAAUGAUCUAAUCUUAAUUAAACAAACAAGCGCAAACUAACCCUGCCCAAGACCAGGGCAUU